AAAAAAAACCUGGAUAGCAUUAAUUUACAGUGACUUGGUUGUGUCAGUGUUCAUUCGAUCCAUAAAGUAGCUGUCCUAAGAAGAAGCACAAAAGUGCCUUUUUUCUACAGGGAGAGCACAGGGUACCAUUGCUAAGGGAAGGAUUUAUGACGAAUGGACUGAUUGUCCAAGUGAAGAGAAAUUGCAGCUAAUUCUGAUGGUACUGAAAGAGUCGAUGAUUUUGACGUCUUACCCUUGCAACAUAAUUUUGAACCUGAGAGGGAGAGACAUUUGAAAAUUACUUUGGAAACGACUAAAACAACAACUUGUCUGCAGUGGUAUUCCUCCUGGAUUUGGCUUGUUCAUUCUACGUGUGGACCUUAGAAAGCUACUUUCUGCAGUUAAUUAAGAUUGUCCAACAAAUAAGUUAAGUUUGGCGCUACUCGAACAACCGUCUACAUGGGUGUGGUCUUUUCAGGACUCUGUUCCUGAUUUGAUAUUUUCAUCUUCACUUCGCAAUACCAUGCAGUUGAUUUUUGACCGAUUAGUGGGAGCAACUCAGGAUCUAUUUGAUUUCAAAUGGUACAACAAAAUUUCUGCUAUGGUGUUCCUCCUGGAUUUGGUGUGCUCUUCACACCUGCAAACAGUUGCAGUCUGCAGUUAAUUAAGAUCGACGUUGGAGAAGACAAAGAUGACCCCAUAG